AGUGGUCAAUUAGUUCAUAGUUAUAAAGGAACAGGUGGUAUUUUUGAAGUUUGCUGGAAUUCUAGGGGUGACAAAGUUGGGGCAAGUGCAUCUGAUGGAAGUGUAUUUGUAUUGGAUCUUCGAAAACUCUAAUUCUUCUGACAUAAUUUAUUUUUACUUUGAGUUUUCCCUAUUUUGGAUACUGAUUUCCAAUUGUUUACUAAACAAGUAGCAAUUUUCACUCCUGUUUAUAUAAGUUUAUAAUUAUGGUGUUGUAUCAAAGAAAAAAUAAUUUACUGAUACUCUAGUUGUAUUAAUGUAAAUUAUAUAUAACAUAAUAUAUUAUUAUAUGGAUGCACAAUUAUUGGUGAAAAUUGCUUCUCUUUUAACCAUAGGCUCUGUGAAUUUGUGUAUUUAUAUUACUAUACUAUUAUUGUGAAACCAAUUUUUUAUUGUCAUUUAUUUUCAUCGCAAUAGUGAUUUAUAUAUAUAUAUAUAAUUCUUGUCAAUAACAACUGACUCAGCAGGAUGUAUGUAAUAAAAAACAAAAAUUAAUUAAUUAUAAAAUAAUAAAAACCACAUAACAAAAAAAAAAAAAAAAAAAUGUUGACAAUGUGGAGUUGGGUUAAUACUUGUACACAGUAUCAAAUAUACUUAACUUUGUAUACCUUAAAAUAAUUUUAUAUUUUAUUUUAUCUAUGAUUAGGUAUGAUUUUAUGAUAGUAGUUAAAAAAUUAAGCAAAUAUAAUAUUAUUUUUUAUGUUGUAAGAUGUUGUUAUAUUUUAUGCCUAAAGGCAACUCAUAUUAUAAAUCUUUUGUUUACUUGUUGCUUUCAGAAAACUUUUUAUGUGAAAGUAUUAAACCAUAAUUUUUCACUCAAUAUUAAUGGAUACAAAUUUAAAUUUAAAAAUUAUCUUUUUAUUAUAACUGAUAUAAUAUUUUAAAUUGGAUUAUACGGUAUAUUUUAUGUUGCACUUGAAAGUAAUUAAAAACUAAAAAUGUAUUUGAAUUUGAAAAUUGAUUACAGAUUUGAAAACAAAUUAUAAAUGUAUAUCUUAAUUAUUACAAUAUAAACCAUUUACCUAUGGUA